UACGUAGGGGGCUAGCGUUGCUCGGAAUUACUGGGCGUAAAGCGUGCGCAGGCGGUUUUGUAAGUCUGUCGUGAAAGCCCCGGGCUCAACCUGGGAAUUGCGAUGGAGACUGCAAGGCUAGAAUCUGGCAGAGGGGGGUAGAAUUCCACGUGUAGCAGUGAAAUGCGUAGAGAUGUGGAGGAACACCGAUGGCGAAGGCAGCCCCCUGGGUCAAGAUUGACGCUCAUGCACGAAAGCGUGGGGAGCAAACAGG
rnacentral:rRNA from 1 species